CACUAACACAUGCAAGUCGAACGGUGAACAUAAACUAGCUUGCUAGUUUGAUGACCAGUGGCGGACGGGUGAGUAAUGCUUGGGAAUUUGCCUUUAGGUGGGGGACAACAGUUGGAAACGACUGCGUAAUACCGCAUGAUAGCUACGGCUCAAAGGGGGCUUCGGCUCUCGCCUUUAGAGAAGCCCAAGUGGGAUUAGGUAGUUGGUGAGGUAAAGGCUCACCAAGCCGACGAUCCCUAGCUGGUCUGAGAGGAUGAUCAGCCACACUGGAACUGAGACACGGUCCAGACUCCUACGGGAGGCAGCAGUGGGGAAUAUUGCACAAUGGGCGCAAGCCUGAUGCAGCCAUGCCGCGUGUGUGAAGAAGGCCUUCGGGUUGUAAAGCACUUUCAGCGAGGAGGAAGGUUAAGUAGUUAAUACCUGCUUGAUUUGACGUUACUCGCAGAAGAAGCACCGGCUAACUCCGUGCCAGCAGCCGCGGUAAUACGGAGGGUGCGAGCGUUAAUCGGAAUUACUGGGCGUAAAGCGUACGCAGGCGGCUAAGUAAGUCAGAUGUGAAAGCCCCGGGCUCAACCUGGGAACUGCAUUUGAAACUGCUUAGCUAGAGUGCGACAGAGGGUGGUAGAAUUUCAGGUGUAGCGGUGAAAUGCCUAGAGCUCUGAAGGAAUACCAAUGGCGAAGGCAGCCACCUGGGUCGACACUGACGCUCAUGUACGCAAAGCCUGGCGUA
rnacentral:rRNA from 1 species